rfam:Glycine soja cultivar W05 scaffold1242_11, whole genome shotgun sequence.
GGACUAUUAGUUCAGUUGGUUAGAAUGUCAUGCUAAUAACCUGAAAGUCAAAGGUUCGACCCCUGUUUAGACUA